rnacentral:rRNA from 1 species
UACAGAGGGUGCGAGCGUUAAUCGGAAUUACUGGGCGUAAAGCGUGCGUAGACGGUUAUUUAAGUCGGGUGUGAAAGCCCCCGGGCUCAACCUGGGGAAUUGCAUUCGAGACUGAAUAGCUAGGGUACGGUAGAGGGAAGUGGAAUUUCCAGUGUAGCGGUGAAAUGCGUAGAUAUCGGAAGGAACAUCAGUGGCGAAAGCGGCUCACUGGACCGGUUCUGACGCUGAGGCGCGAAAGCGUGGGGAGCAAACGGG